rnacentral:lncRNA from 1 species
UUCAAGAGCUACUUCAAGUCUGAUAUGAGUAUCGGGAAAUCAACUGCAGGUUAUGGACGAAGGGUGGAUGAGUUUUUUUGUAUAUAUUUUGUAUGAAAGGUGAUAUGAAAUGCAUGAUGAUUGCAGAUGCAAUGAUAUGUGUAUGACUUGUAGUGACACAUUCAGGAUCACAGGUUCAAAGUAUUUUCAUAUGGAUCAGAAUAACGGGUAAAUGACAGGUAUCUCUGAUUAAUAGAACCCCAUGGGUAGGCUCUACAGUUGGUAGGUUCCCAGAGUCAUGGAUAUUUCUUGAGGACGUCACUGCCGUGACGAAGACUCGUCGAGCAAUAGUAUCCUUAAGAAGAUCUCGUCUAGGUGAGGUCUUUGUAUUAUCCCAACAAGGAAAACUCCAUGAGGAUUCUACUACAUGACUCUCGACAGGUCCCAAGAUUGUUCCAAGAGUCUCAGUAUCAUCGAGGUUGGAAAUAUUACUGUAAGAUAGUAAUACGUCCAAGGGAUCUCAUCUGAUUGGGGCUUUCGUAUUAACCCAACAAGUCUGAAACUUGUAGGUUAAUACUACAUAACCAUCGGAUAUAAUGGGUUAAAAGGUCCCUAGAGUCAUUGAUCCAUCUUGAGAAUACUAUCGUCGUGACGAAGACUCGUCAGGCAAUAAUAUCUCAAGAGAAUCUCCUCUAGGCGGGGUCUUCGUUUCUUCCCAACAAGGAAGACUCCUUGUGGGCGCCCACUACACAACCACCAACUUAAUCUUAUGGUUUUUCUCAGACUCGGGUAGAGAGCCUAUCUCACAAAGUAUCACCACCUAGAGAACCCCAAAUAAGACAUAGUCAAUAAAUCACAAUAUAAUAAUUAUGACAGAAUAAUAAUAGCAGAAUAAAAGAUAACAGAUAAACAAACAAGAUUAACACACAAUAUAGAAACUGAACUAAAUUAGGCUUCACUCUCUUUUGCUUGGAGCUAGUCCCCAGCAGAGUCGCCAUCUGUCGCAUCUCGAAAAAUACGAUUCCUCGCGAUGGUCGCGGAAAAAUUUAAUGUUCGAACAGAGUCGCCACCGAACUUUAUUUAUCCCAAUGAAGGGAUAGGGAAAUAUCGAUAAAACCUUUAGGAAAUGGAAUAAUGGUCGUCACAACCAUAUUCGGGUUCGGGAGUGGAUUACGUAAGGGGAAGGUAUUAGCACCCCUUACGUCCGUUGUACUCAACGGGAACCUUUUAAUUCUAAUUUGCAUUUCGUGUGUUAAUUUAUGUUUGUUUGUUAUCGUUGGGUUAUNUUACAUCCUAAUAAUUUUACUCAAUACUUUUCAAGGUGAAAAGACACUACAACGAGUCCUAAGUAGCCAACAUCCCACAUUGAAAGAUCUCAUAAAAUAUUCUCAUAAAAUACUUUUUCAGUCAAAAGGAAAACAACAUAAUGCAAUUGGCCCCAACUAUAACAUGUGAGUUUACUUAUUAGAAUAUUCAUGGCUAACUUCAGCAUAUUUUAUUACAAUUAAAAUUCCUUAUGUUCAUUUCUAGUUUUCAUUAACACUUACAAAAGUAACCACCUUAUUUUCAUUGCACUCCCUAUUUCAAAUACGUGUGUUUGUAUAUGAAACAAUGAAAACCUUUUAAUUAUUUUUGAAAACAAUGAAGUAAUAAUUUUGUAGAAACUUGUAAUUAUUAGUAAACACAAGAAACAUUAUCUCAAACCAAACAAGUCCUAAAUAACUUAAAUCAAUAACAUUUUCUCAUGCCAUGACUAAUAUUAAACUCAAAGGAGGUUUCUAGCUGAAAAAGUGAGUGUACUAUUUUCUUAGUAUGAAAAAUGACGGCAUAUGAAGAUUCAUAACAAAACUGUCAAACGUAAAGUCUAAGCAUGCCAAUAUAUAAGCAUGUUAUAAAUUUAAGAUGGUGUUAACACAAGAGAGUGAUUGUAAUUUACAUGCAAGUCAAACUAAUAUCAACACAAAAUAUAUUCUCAACAUUGCAUAAGUGUCACACCAUCAAAAAUCCAGCGCAAACAUGGAAUAAUCAGACCACAAUAGAUAACCGAAAUACGCACAUCAAUACAAAAACACUAACCCAAUCUGAAUUGACCCAAAUAAAUAUCACCACCUUAGCUCAACAGAAGCCCCUAGCAAGAUUAAUAUGAAACUGAGCAAAACCGAAACCUGUACAUUCGAGAAUCAUAACAUGUUGAAAACAACAGCAACACACUUAAACCAGUGACAUACAUAUCAAACACUAAAAGAAUGAAACGGAAAAUGCCGACAUGAUACGCACAAACAGCAAAUGAAAAAUAAAUUAGAACAUGGUAAACAGAGAUAAUCAAAUUGAAAAAAAACCACUUGAACCUCGAUGGAUGACGUUGAUCUUGCUACAUAUCCAGUUGUUUUCCGUAUUGAGCUCGAGACAUUGAGUAUCGUUACACACAAUAAUGACGAUGAAGACGGAGUAACUUACCGUUGAAGAGAGGUUGACAGCGUGAGAUGCAGAUUCAAUACCGUUAAUGGUGCGGUUGAGUUCGGAAACAGAAACAAUGUUGUCGUUGGUUCGUGUUGCUGAAACGGAAUGUCAACACGGCGUCGUUGUUAGUUGGAUGGAGUUCUGUCCAAAAAUAACAAGGUUAAUGCGCGGUAGCUCUUCGAAUCGGACCGAGUUUCGUGGUUGGGAUUUGAAGAGAAAGUCGUUCACGAUGUAGAUCGGCAGACCAAUAGAGAAGUGGUUUCGGUUGUUUGUUUGGUGGCGGAAGAGGGUUCAAAGGGGAUUUUGGCGAUUGAGAAUGAGAAAGGGAUAAUCGUGUUGGUGAGCUUGGUUUUUCAUCGGUGAAGACGAUAAAGGUGGUGGUGAGCGGUGAAGCAGAAGGUUUGUGUGGGUUUCCGGCGACUGGAAGAAGGUCGUCGCCAGCGUCGCUGAAUAUUCAGAGUGAUGGGUUAUUUUAUGAUGGUGAAGGCAAGACGGCGAGUUGAAGCAAACUAAGGGAGUGAAGCGAAUAUUGUGGUGCGGUUGUGUGCCGGCGGAAGGAGAAAGAAGAAGACAUUCAGAAAGAAACCUUUUCUUGUGUCUGUUGGGUUUUUUUUAGCCAAUGAGAGAGAAGAGUAUCCUUUUCUUUUCUUUUCGUUGAGAGUCUCUCAGUGAGGUACUGAAUAGUGAGUGGGUUAUAUGAAUGAGGUGAGACUGAGAAAGAGUUAAAGUGAGUGAGGUGAUAGGUGGCGUGUGUUGAGAGAGAUGGAGGUAGCGUGAAGGUAAGAGAUACGCAAGCUGGAUACCAG